GACUUCCACUACUGAGAAACUCAUGAAAAAGUCCAUGAUGAUAAAUAUUUGAAUAAUAUUUAAUAAUAAUUUUAAUGAUACAUUUUUAUUUGCUAGUCACUCUUUUGUUAAACUUGUAUGCUUUUAAUGGAGGACUUUUACAAGAUGACGCACUGCUACACUGGCUGAGAUAGCUCAACGCACUGCAAUUUAGCACGUUAAGCUCUUUCCGCCACUGUUCUCUGCUGUUUUGUUUGUUAAAAUCAUGGUAUGUACUUUAAUUCGCUCAUAAAACGAUGAACUUUUCCCUUUUUAUGAUUUUGUUAUUAGUAAAAUAGCAUGGAUAAUAUUAAGCAAUUACAGAAGAUCAUGUUGUAUGUAACAAUGACAGCGGUACUUUGUUAUUCGGAUGCUAGUGUUAGCUCUGUGGCUCCUGUAAUCGGUUGUGUUGUAUGUUGUUACGUGUUUAGAAACUGUAAAUUGGAAAUAUUUUAGAUUUACAGUCUUUGUUUAGCUGCUAAUUUUGCUGAUUGCCUUAAUUAUUUAUUUUUUUUGGACUUUUGAUUAUUCAUCGAGCUCAGCAUAACGUAAAGGCCUAGUGAAGUCUUGUCAAUAUUACGUUUAGUUUGGAAUAUUACUUUGCUGCACACGCUGCAUCGAUACGCUAUGUGAUUUACUGUAUGUACAACUUGUGGUGUGAUGGUUAAAGUUAUGGUUUGGAAGUCAGAAGUUAGAAACCCUCAAGGUUUGUGUUUUCUAAUAGGGAUCGCUGCUGCUAACAUAAACAUUACUUAUUUUUUUUUAGCUCAGUUUGGGUUUUCACGGUAGACUAAAGCAUUCGGUUUAAAUGCAUAUAGAAAUAAAGCACGUGCAGGAGUUUAUUUUUACUUGUACAGUCUGAGUUUUCUGGACAGAGUAAAAUAUUCAAACAUAUUCAAACACUUUGUUUCAAACAUAUUAUAAUUCGUACUUUGCUUUUGCUUCCUUCUGAUUACAUUUGUUUUUGCAUUUGUUUUCAGGGAUCAAACAUAUGUUGCCUCCGCAGACCAGUGGAUCAGAUUAAGACGUCUAUCCAAUGUACCGAAAACCCCAAAGGAUUGAAUGGAGUUGUCAUACAAGAUGAUAAGGUGUUUGCCAUGAACAAACACCCCUUGGGGACUGUUCCUUGGUGGGUCGACACAAACUCAACUGCUGCUCUCGGCAAAACAUUCCCAUGCUCCCCUGACAUCUCAUGCAGCAUUAAAAAUGAUCGUUGAGUGCUUGUGAACUUUGGCAGUUUUGACUAAUUAAAUAUAAAUAAAGAUAUACAUGUUUUGUUUUUUGUUUA